GAGGAGGAGAAGGGGUGAGUGCGCCCCAACCGCCUGCCAGCGAAGCCGACGGCCAGCAUCUCGAGCGACGCCGGUGACCAACACCACCCAGCUAGGGUUUGGGUGUUCAGACUCCAGAGUACAUGCCUUAGUGGAACCUGCAUGAAUGCAGGAUCAUCACAGAUCUUGUUCAUCCUGCCUUUUUUUCUCACAUCCUUGUCUACCUCAACGUCGUCUCCUUUCCGCGACAGCCUGCUGCCGAGCUUGUGGGGGAGGGGAGCAACGGGCGCAGGGUACAACGAGCUCACGGAUCCUGGAAUGUGUUCAAGGAGUGGA